UGGCGGUCAGGGCCUGUUGCAGGUCCAGGCUGGUGGCUUCGGCCAGGUCCGUCGUGCCGAUGCCAUGGGCCGCCAGC
rnacentral:tRNA from 1 species